UUUAAAUAACCAUAUAUUGUAAAGAUCCCUGAAUUUAGUACAAUGUAUCCUCAUCAUCUAUAAGAUCACUUGCUGGGGAUUAUAAUCUAGUCUCUUUUAAAAAUAGCGAGAGAUUAUAAGGAAUAUUUUUUCCCAAGGCUUACUGUAUUUUAAGACAUACACAAAAUAGCCCUAAUAAGAACUUCUUUUCCUUAUAAUAAAUAGGAGUGAAUUGACUUAAAUAGUAAACAUUAUUGAGCUGGUUUAGGA
rnacentral:lncRNA from 1 species